AAACGCCACCACAACUCCACCUACAUCCACACCUCCAGCUACAUCCACAACUCCAUCUACAUCCACCUCUGCUGCUGUUCUCUCUGUGUUGUCAUUUGUUGGAUCAUUCUUUUUUGUGCUUCUACUGGUGUUACUGGUUCUGCUGGUGAGACGAUAUGUUCACAGGAAACUCGAAGACUUUAAACCAGAGCCAGAUGUCGUCUACUCUUCACUGAAGUAGUACACCAGUCCAACCACUGAUGUCCAGCUGCUGGCCUCUAACUGGUCCCCCCAGCACCUCAGACCAGAGGACAUCCACAUGCUAACAAGACUUCUGUGGGUUUCACAAAGGGAAAACUGGACUUCUGGUUUGGUUCUGGCCUAACAACACACACGUUUCUUAACUGAAGAAAACAAAGAAUAAAGAUUAAACCACAACCUCAGCCUAAAAAAAAAGCCAGAGCAUCAAUCAGUGUCUUUAAACCUUCAUUUAUUUGUGUUUGAGACUGAAGAGUUUUGCCUCUUUGUUUCCUCAGUCAGCUAGAAACCAACCAGCAGCC
ensembl:lncRNA